CAAUGAAGAAAGUAUGGUAAUGUACACAUAAAUUGAAUUGGGUCUCUAGUCUUGCCCUCUAUGAUGCCAUUUGGUUUUGAUUUGGGGGCAUGGUUCCGCAGCAAAACA